GUUAUAAAAAACCUCCGCAAAUUGACAUGAUUUGAAAUGAUUAUGCUUAACCGUGUAAAUGACAAUAAUUUUGGCGGUUUUAAUUUCUUAUUUAGGAGGUUUAUAACAUCUUCAAUUAUAAAAACUUUUUUUCUUUCCUUUCCAUCUUUUUUAUAUCUCUUCCCUCUUUAUAUUUUACACUUAAUCUUUUUCCCAAUUCCAAAAACAUGUGUGCCUCCAAAAUUUUCGACUUUUCUUCUCCCCUCCCAAAUUUCCCACUCCCUUCCUCCUCUAAAAUUUCGCAAUCGUUCUUCCCUCUCGAAGCUUCUUAAAAUCAUCGCAUUCCCUUCCUUCCUUUCUUUGUUCUUCCAUUUCGCUCACGAUAAUUCUUUAGUUUCGAAUUAGGGUUCCCUAAGAGUUCUUCGUCGACUCCUCCUACGCAACUCUGGAACAACAUUCUGACGACAUCGAGUUCUACGCCGACUCCUCCUAUGAACUCCAAUGAAAGCUCGUCCAAGCCGUUAUCGCCGUUGACUCCUCCAGCGACGUUCAGUCCUCUUACUCUCCUGUUCUUGUAUAGCUAACACGAAAGAGAGAGAAGCAAAUGGAGAAGGUUUUGGAACAACAACACAGGAAAAGGGAGAAGAGAGAGUUAGGGUUUUAUCGAUUAACUCAAAAAAUGGAGAAGAGAAGGGAAAAUCAGGGGAAAUGAAUACUGCCGAUCGUGAUUCUCACCAGCGGAAGAGGUAUAAACACUAUAAGGUUUGGGUUAGGAAAGGUUCAAGGAGCUUCUGAUACUGGUGGACACUUGCCAAGCCUCUACUCUGUUCUUCCAGAUGAACAUAUCGAUAAUGGAGAACUUGGGCAAAAUGGUAUGUUGUAGAGCUUUUGUCUGUCAUGACAAAUGGUGUUUAUAUUUGGAAUAUGAAACAUAACCGGUGCGUGAACUUGUUCCAUGCUGAAAUUGGAGAAGAUGGAAAUGUUGUUGGAGUAAGAACUAUUGGCUCAUCAGAAGUUAUGAUGUUGGCAGGACUUGCAUUCAAGAAGUGGCAGAAGAAGCAUAAGGCAAAGAGACUUGAGGCAUCAAACCUAUCUUUGGUGCUACAUCUUGGAUUGAGGAAACCAUGGCCUUGAUUGUCCUUUAUCUUGGAGCUAUAAGAGCAAGUGUGAAGCUACAAGAGCAAGUGUGAAAUUUCAAUUAGCUAUCUAACGUUCCCUUGUAAAACCUCUGUUACACUCUGGCAAAGUGCAAAAAUUUGCCACAAGCUAAACCUCUAGUUUUAUAGUGAU